rnacentral:misc_RNA from 1 species
GAUGAAGAACGUAGCGAAAUGCGAUAAGUAGUGUGAAUUGCAGAAUUCAGUGAAUCAUCGAAUCUUUGAACGCACAUUGCGCCCCUUGGUAUUCCAUGGGGCAUGCCUGUUCGAGCGUCAUUUGUACCUUCAAGCUUUGCUUGGUGUUGGGUGUUUGUCCCGCGUUGCGCGUGGACUCGCCUUAAAGCGAUUGGCAGCCGGCAUAUUGGCCUUGGAGCGCAGCACAUUUUGCGCUUCUAGUCAUGAAUGUUGGCGUCCAUUAAGCCUAUACAUUUGCUCUUGACCUCGGAUCAGGUAGGGAUACCCGCUGAACUUAAGCAUAUCAAUAAGCGGAGGA